CCGCUCCACGGACCGACCUCCGCAACAUCCUGCCUGAACCGUUGUCGUGAUGCCGCUGGCGGCAGUUGGGAGUUGUGGGGCAGACCGGAGCAGGGGCAGCCGGAGAGCACGAGAGGAACCGCGGGAGGGCCGGAGGGAGCGGGUGCAUCGUGCCCCCGGCGGCUUCGAAGGGGGCGUCUCGGCGCCCGUGCUCCAGCCAUCGCCCGGCGUCCGGUACCUUAACCCCACACCGCCGAGGGUUGAGAACGGUACGGAACAAGGAUCUCGUGAGCCGUGACUCCCAACCUCCGUGGGAUGGCGCUGCCGUGGCGGCGGCGCCCCCGUGCCCGUCAUUGGGGCUCGGCAUUCCAUCGAACGCCUCUCGUGCACCGUACGGCGACCACCUCUGUCAGAAAAUCCAAGGAGCCAGAUUAUCUUGGAAUAACUCAAAUACCAUGGCCUGGUCCCAUGGAGCAUCUGCAAUAUUUUCGCAGGUUCACAAACUUGAGCAGAUCCUGAUGUGAGGACCCUCCAUCCGCGAUGCUCGCGCACGCCCUGCUCUUCAGGGACAACGCCCUCGCCUUGAUCCCCUCGUCUCCAAGCAGCCGGGCGACCUUGUCCCUGAUCUC